UUAUAGAUGAAGGAGCAGAGGUUAGAGAUGGAUGGAACUUGCCUUACAGGAAGAUGGAAAAAUGGACUGGACAGUGCAAAUGGAAGGUACUGCUGAUGUCACUUUGUUCUACUGCUUACACCAUAAGGAAAGGAACUGUGACGUUUCAGUUACAGGGUGUUUGGAGACUAUGGAGCCACAUCCUUACAGAGGCAAGCCCGAGAGGAAAACAGAUCUUCCCCUACUGCUCUACCAGAAAAAAACCUCAGGGAAGAUCUUGGGUUGACUUGCAUCAUGUAGACAUCUGAUGUGGUUUGGAUAUUUGUGCCCUCCACAGCUCAUGAUGAAAUUUGGUCUCCAGUGUUGGAGGUGGGGCCUCGUGGGGAGUGUUUGGGUCAUGGAGGUGGAUCCCUCAUGAGUGGCUUGGUGCCCUCUCAUAGUAAUGAGUGACUUCUCACUCUAUUGUAUGUUCACCUGAGAGUUGGUUGUUUAAAAGAGUGGUUGUUUAAAAAAGCUGGUUGCAUAAAAGAGAGCUGGUUGUUUAAAAAAGCACUCCUCCCC
rnacentral:lncRNA from 1 species